rnacentral:lncRNA from 1 species
GUAAAACCAAAGACAGGCAGCCCGGCGCCAGGCCUGAAACCAGGCCUGGGCCUGCCUGGCCUAAACCCAGUAGUUAAAAAUCAACUCAUAACUUAGAAACUGAUGUUAUUCAUAGAUUCCAGACAUUGUAUAGAAGAACAUUGUGAAACUCCCUGUCCUGUUCUGUUUCUCUCUGACCACCGGUACAUGCAGCCCCUGUCAUGUACCGCCUGCUUGCUCAAAUCAAUCACGACCCUUUCAUGUGAAAUCUUUAGUGUUAUGAGCCCUUAAAAGGGACAGAAAUUGUGCAUUCGGGGAGCUUGGAUUUUAAGGCAGUACCUUGCCAAUGCUCCCAGCUGAAUAAAGCCCUUCCUUCUACAACUAGGUGUCUGAGAGGUUUUGUCUGCGACUCGUCCUGCUACAUUUCUUGGUUCCCUGACCAGGAAGCGAGGUGACUGACGGACGGCCGAGGCAGCCCCUUAGGUGGCUUAAGCCUGCCCUGUGGAGCAUCCCUGAGGGGGACUCUGGCCAGCCUGAGUGAUGUGGUCCGAAGAGCGCUUGGGUAGGAAAUUGCCCCUGUGGAAUGCCUCGUCAGAGCAGCGCAUAGCAGGCCCCCACGGAGGAUUAACACAGUGGCUGAACACUGGGAAGGAACUGGCCCUUGGAGUCCAGACAUCUGAAACUUGAUGCAGAAAGCAAUAUUUAACUGAUCAGCUGCCACUCACAUCAUGAAUCAGAAGCAGCCUUAAAAGAAAGGAUCCCUUCUUGCUAUUUUGAAGGGAAAUAACUGAGUCCUUUGGAGCUGAAAAUGAAAAACUGAGUAGCUGGUGGAAGAAGCGAGAUGGGUUUGGAACUCACAGGCUAUGUUUCUGGAUGCAUCACAUUUGCAAGAGGGAAGUUUUGGUGUCCCUGUGGGUAUAUUAGCACUCCUUUACUCCAUUUCUCUGUAGCUACUCAAGCAAGUGACAAAAGGCUGCAGAGUCCAAGAAAGGUGACAGAUAUGAAGAAAUGCAGUGGUUGCAAAGGACAAAGACAAUGGCAACACAAAUAAAAGAAAUUAUGAGAAGGAAAUAAAUAUUAAAAAAAAAACCCAAACGUUUGUUGAUGUAAACUGAAAAUAAAUUUGGAAUGAGCUGUGUGCACUUGGAAAUGAGAAGAGCUCUGUCCUGCACCAUGAAGGGCUUUGUGUGCAUCCAUGGGUUGCUUCUGCAUGCAGAAUGAGACUGGAACAAAAAAGAACCAUUUAAAACACAGGAUCCAGGAGUGAUUCAGGAUUUUAAAUUGAAGAUUGAUCAUACAAGCUGGAAGACGUCCCAUGACACUUUAUUUGAAAUUGGAACAUCAGAAUUUGGUUGGGUCUAUCUUUUACUAACUCUGUACCAUGAAAAAAUUAUUUAAUAUUUCUGAACUGUGUAAAGAAUAAAAUUAGAUUAUGAAUUCAAUCUGUUGCUGCAUAAUCAAUUACCUCCAAUCUUAGCAGCUUCAAACAACAAACAUAAAUAAACUUAGUUUCUGCAGCUCAGGAAUUCAGGAGUUUAGCUAGAUGGUUCUGGCUUGGAGUCUUCCAUGAGGUUGCCAUCUAGAGGUCAGCCAAGGCUGCAGUCAUUUGAAGGUUUGACUGGGGCUUGAGAAUUCACUCUCAUGGCUAGUCACAUGUUCACUUCUGUGUUGGCUGUUGGCAGGAAUUUUCAGAACCUUGCCAUGUGGGUCUCUCCAUAUGGCUGCUUAAGCAUCCUCAUGACACGUCAGCUGGUCUCCCCAGUGGGAGUGAUCGAAGAGACAGAAGCAAGAAUGUCUUCAAUGACCUACCCUUGUAAGUCACAUACCUCACUUUCACCUAAUCCUCAAAAGGAGAGAGUUAGACUCCACCUUUUGGAGGCAAGAAUGUCAAAGAAUUUGUGGACAUAUUUCAAAACCAUCACUGGAUCAUAUAUGUGAAAAUAAACACUUACAAAAAAUAAAGUGCUAUAAAUGGGAUACAUUCAGAUAAGGAACCCUUCUUUCAAUGCCAUCCCAGAAUUCCCUCAGCUUAAUUCUCCCAGAAGCUUCAAGACCUUCUAAAAUUGUUUGGGCUUGGUCUUUAUAGUCUGGAGGCACCAAAAGCCUGAGAUUUGUAUAGAUUAAGGAAGAAUCAGAAUCUAAGAGACAUUAAAUGACUAGCCAAAGAUCACACUGCUAGUUGGUGGAAGUCCGAGGAGUUUGUCCUAAGUGUGCCUAACUUCAAAUCCCCUCAUCUUAAUCAUUGUGUCACAUCAUGUCAUAAAAAUGGAUGAAAGAAGAAAGAAGACACAAACACCCAGUAUUAUUUUAGGACAAUUUCAUGGCAUUAAGUGUGGAUUUUCGUUUUAGCUAACAUUUUCAUGAAGGAAAAUCUUUGAGGAUGUUCUCUCCAUUAAAAAAAGAAGGAAAAAAACUCAAGAUAAUUAUAGAUUUACAUGCAGUUGUAAAAGUUAGUAAUGUAAAGAGAAGGCUUGUACACUUUGCCUAAUUUCCCCAGUGGUAACUUUUUUAGAGCUAUAGUAUGAUAUCACAACCAGGAUAUUGACAUCAGUCAAUCCACUGAUCUUAUUCAGUUUUCCUAAGUUUACUCUUUAAUGUGUGUGUGAAGUUCUACACAAUUUUAUUACUCGUAUAAGUUCGUGUAUCAUCACCCUGGUUAAAAUACUGAGGGGUUCCAGUGCCACAAGGAUCCCUCCUAUUCUUUUUGAGCCACACCCAUUCCCCUUCUUCCCCAAUUUCUCCACCUCCCUUUCUAACUAUCUGCCACUAGUCUGUCCUCCAUUUCUAAAAUUUUGUCAUUUCAAAAAUUUAAUAUAAGUGGAAUUAUGUAGUAUACAACAAUUUGGAGUUUUGUUUUUGCUCAACAUGAUUUCCUAAAGAUUCAUUCAAGUAGUUCUGUAUAUCGAUAGUGUAUUUCUUUUUAUUGCUGAGUAGUAUUACAAUUUUGUUUAACCAUUCAACUCUUUUUUGUUAGUUUCUUUUUGUUUUUGAGAUGGAGUCUGUUGCCCAGGCUGGAAUGCAGCAGCGCGAUCUCUGCUCACAGCAACCUCUGCCUCCUGUGUUCAAGCUAUUCUCCAGCCUCAGCCUCCUGAGUAGCUGAGAUUACAGGCGUGAGCCACAGCGCCCACCCUAGCCAUUCAACUCUGAAGCACAUCUGGGUUGAUACCAGUUUUGGGCUGUUACAAUAAAACUUCUAUGAACAUUCACGCACAAAUUUUUGUGGGAACAUACGUUUUCAUUUCUCUAGGAUAGAUGUACAGGAAUAAAAUUCUGGGUCAUAUGGUAGUUGCAUGUUUAAAUAUUUAAGAAACUGCUAAACUGCUUUCCAGAGUGUCUGUACCAUUUCACAGUCCUAAAAGCGAUGUAUGAAUGAUCCAGUUUCACCAUUUCCUCAUCAGCAUUUGGUGUUGUAAUUCUCAUUUUAAUAAUGCUUAUAGAUGUGUGGUGAUAUCUCAUUAUGGUGUUCAUUUGUAUUUCUCUAAUGACCAAUAAAUAUUUAACAUAUUUCCAUGUGCCUGCUUUUUUGCCAUUUUAUAUCCUCUUUGGUCUAUAAUGCCUUUUGUCCAUUUUCUAAUUAAAUAUUUAUGUAUUGUUGAGUUUUCAGAGUUCUUUAUAUAUUCUAGAUAUUAUUCCUUUGUCAGCUAUGUGGUUUUAAAAUAUUUAUUUCUAUCUUGUAGCUUGUAAUUUCAUUUUCCUCACGUGGACUUUCACAAAGCAAGUGUUUUUAUUUUUGAUAAAAUCAGAUUUGUCAAGUUUUCCUUCUGUGGAUCAUGAUUUUGUUGUCAAGUCCAAUAACUGUCUGCCUAGCUCCAGAUCCCAAAGUUUGCUCCUGUG